AAGUCGUAACAAGGUUUCCGUAGGUGAACCUGCGGAAGGAUCAUUAUCGUGGGGCUUCGGCCCUCUCGAGAUAGAACCCUUGCCUUUUUGAGUACCUUUCGUUUCCUCGGCGGGCUCGCCCGCCAAUGGGGACCACAAUAAACCCUUUGUAAUGCCUGUAAUCGUCUGACAAAACAAACAAAAAUUAAAACUUUCAACAACGGAUCUCUUGGUUCUG
rnacentral:misc_RNA from 1 species